CUAAGGCAAAGCCUCAUACAGACUUUAGCUAUACCAUCAAAGCCUUGAGAAGCAACAAGAAGCUUGGUUAGUGUUUUGGAGUCAAAUAUUACUAAAUGUCAUGUGUAUGAGUGAGUAUGACAACUAGAACCAUAACCGGAUCUUAAAAACCUAAGUAUUGAAUCUUUGUUAGAAGAUACAAAGACAAAGACUCAUACGGACUUCGACUACACUAUCAAAGCUUUGAGAAGCAAGAAGAAGCUUGGUUAGUGUUUUGGAGUGAAAUCUAACUAGAUGUCAUGUGUAUGAGUGAGUAUAAAAACUAGAACCGCAACGGAUCUUAAAAGCCUAAAUAUUGUAUCCUUGUUAGAAAAUACAUAGACAAAGUCUCAUACGGAAUUCGGCUAAACCAUCAAAGCUUUUAGAAGCAAGAAGAAGCUUGGUUAGUGUUUUGGAGUGAAAUCUAACUAGAUGUCAUGUGUAUGAGUGAGUAUACCAACUAGAACCACAAUUGGAAUUUUAAAAGCCUAAGUAUUAUAUCCUUGUUAGAAGAUACAAAGACAAACACUCAUACGGACUUUGGCUACACCAUCAAAGCUUUGAGAAGCAAGAAGAAGCUUGGUUAGUGUUUUGGAGUCGAAUAUGACUUGAUGUGAUGUGUAUGAUUGAGUAUAAGAAAUUAAACCGCAACCGGAUCUUAAAAGCCUAGGUAUUGUUUCCUUGUUAGAAGAAACAAAGGCAAAGCCUCAUACAAACUUUAGCUUUACCAUCAAAGCCUUGAGAAGAAAGAAGAAGCUUGGUUAGUGUUUUGGAGUCAAAUAUUACUAGAUC
rnacentral:sRNA from 1 species